ACGGGGGCAGCAGCUAAGAAUAUUCCGCAAUGGACGAAGGUCUGACGGAGCGACGCCGCGUGGAUGAUGAAGGCCGGAAGGUUGUAAAAUCCUUUUAUAACUGAGGAAUAAGUAUUAUCAGAGAAAGGUAGUAUGGUGACUGUAGGUUAUGAAUAAGCAACGGCUAAUUACGUGCCAGCAGCCGCGGUAACACGUAAGUUGCGAGCGUUGUUCGGAAUUAUUGGGCGUAAAGGGCAUGUAGGCGGUUUUGCAAGCUUGGUGUGAAAUCCCGGAGCUCGACUCCGGAAUUGCGUUGAGAACUGCAUAACUAGAGUCACUGAGGGGCAAUCAGAAUUCCAGGUGUAGGGGUGAAAUCUGUAGAUAUCUGGAAGAAUACCAAUGGCGAAGGCAGGUUACCAGCAGAUGACUGACGCUGAGGUGCGAAGGUGCGGGGAGCAAACAGGAUUAGAUACCCUGGUA
rnacentral:rRNA from 1 species